GACGAACGCUGGCGGCGUGCCUAACACAUGCAAGUCGAACGGAGAAUUAGCAAUAAUUCUUAGUGGCGAACGGGUGAGUAACGCGUAGACAACCUACCCUUUAGAUGGGGACAACACCGCGAAAGUGGUGCUAAUACCGAAUAUUGCUUGAGAAGCGCAUGCUCUUCAAACUAAAGAUGGCCUCUAUUUAUAAGCUAUCGCUAAAGAAUGGGUCUGCGUCUGAUUAGCUAGUUGGUGAGAUAAAAGCUCACCAAGGCAACGAUCAGUAGCCGGUCCGAGAGGAUGAACGGCCACACUGGGACUGAGACACGGCCCAGACUCCUACGGGAGGUAGCAGUGGGGAAUCUUCCGCAAUGGACGAAAGUCUGACGGAGCAACGCCGCGUGAGUGAUGAAGGUUUUCGGAUCGUAAAACUCUGUUGUUAAGGACGAAUGUAUAGAUUGUGAAUAAUGGUUUAUAAUGACGGUACUUAACGAGGAAGCCACGGCUAACUACGUGCCAGCCGCCGCGGUAA
rnacentral:rRNA from 1 species